rfam:Oryza glumipatula chromosome 4, whole genome shotgun sequence.
AAAAAGACAAAACCUGAGUUUCCGUGUCCAACGUUUGACUAUCCGUCUUAUAUGAUGUUUUUUUAUAAUUAGUAUUUUCAUUGUUGUUAGAUGAUAAAACAUGAUUAAUACUUUAUGCGUAACUUGUCUUUUUAAUUAUUUUCAUAUUUUUUUUAAAUAAGACGGACGGUCAAACGUUGGACACGGAAACUCAGGGUUUGUCUUUUU